rnacentral:rRNA from 1 species
GAUGAACGCUGGCGGCGUGCCUAAUACAUGCAAGUCGAGCGAACGGACGAGAAGCUUGCUUCUCUGAUGUUAGCGGCGGACGGGUGAGUAACACGUGGAUACCCUACCUAUAAGACUGGGAUAACUUCGGGAAACCGGAGCUAAUACCGGAUAAUAUUUUGAACCGCAUGGUUCAAAAGUGAAAGACGGUCUUGCUGUCACUUAUAGAUGGAUCCGCGCUGCAUUAGCUAGUUGGUAAGGUAACGGCUUACCAAGGCAACGAUGCAUAGCCGACCUGAGAGGGGGAUCGGGCACACUGGAACUGAGACACGGUCCAGACUCCUACGGGAGGCAGAAGUAGGGAAUCUUCCGCAAUGGGCGAAAGCCUGACGGAGCAACGCCGCGUGAGUGAUGAAGGUCUGCGGAUCGUAAAACUCUGUUAUUAGGGAAGAACAUAUGUGUAAGUAACUGUGCACAUCUUGACGGUACCUAAUCAGAAAGCCACGGCUAACUACGUG